rnacentral:lncRNA from 1 species
GCUGGAGCGCAGUGGCGCAAUCCUAACUUGGCCCUCGAGAAGUCGGCGGAGGCGUCGGCGGCAGUGGCCCUGGCCAGCCCGGCCCGGCCACAGGGAGGUCAGCUGCUGCGACGGCGGCCCCGGCCCGGCCGGCGGGAAGUCAGCGGAGGCGGCGGCGGCGCGGUCAGAGUGAGUUUCUUUGGAGAAGCCGUGGUGGCUUCAACGUGAUGGUGGAGGACGAGACAGGUCUCUGCGGCUUUUCUGGGUUUGCCUGCCCAGCUACUCCAUGCCACGAGAAGGAAGAGCUAUCUGCUGCAUGCUGGAUGCUGGAGCCUGGAGCCUGUGGCACCACGGCUUGCCUCGUUGCAGUGGGUGGCAGCGAGGGAGACUGCACAGCGCUGGAGAGACACCCAGGCACUAGCCUCCAAGGAUUUGCUGUGCCGAGAGGGGAGGCCCCAGAAAAGCUGGCUAUAAUUCUUCUGAAAAUGUUCCUUCAGGGUUCCAGAAUCCGAGAGCUUCUGAGGACUGUACGAUUGUUUCAAGUCUUCCAUGUCCCAGACGGGUUUUAGGGUUGUGGGGUCCUGCUCAGCAUUCAAUGAUUUCACCAAAUUCCCCAAGGAAUUCAAGUGCUUUUCCGUGUUUGUUUUGGAAAUGAUCCAUCUUUUUCCUCCCGAAUGUUGAUCCUGGCUCUUUCUGUGACUUGUAUUCCCACGGCAUUCUGGCCAUCAGAGCUGAGCAAAAAGGGGCUUCCAGCUUCCAUCUGACUGUUUGUGGGGUCUCCCGAGGAUGAGUUUUCUGGUGGGUGGCCGGAAAGAUGAUCUUGCUGGACAGAUGGGUUGGAGACGCGCCAGGUUCUGGUAGUUUCCUGACACCAGAAUGCAGGCACAGAGACAUGACUGCUUGAGCCACCAAGGCCUGAGAUGGCUGGGCCAGAAGUCACCAAAUCCUCACACGGAGAUGAGCUUUGAUGGUGCCCAGUGGAAGCGCCACCGAGUCACAGUGAGAUGGAGUCGUCAGAGUGGAGUCCUGCAGGGGAGGAGCAAUGAAGCCUUUCGGAGGAGGCGGAGAGCAGGCCAGAGGAUCAGGAUGCGGCACCGGGAUGCUGCAGGAGACAGGAGGCACAAGCUGCAGCCAGGAGCAGGUAGGGCCAUAGGUCAGAGUGCGUGCGUGGGCCCUGGCCCCUCCACUACCCCACAUGCUGACUCCCCAAUUCUCCUCUGUCCCUCCACCACCCCACAUGCUGACUGCCCAAUUCUCCUACGCCUCUCCACCACCCCAAAUGCUGACUGCCCAAUUCUCCUCCUAUGCCCCUCCACCACCCCACAUGCUGACUGCCCAAUUCUCCUAUACCCCUCCAACACCCCACAUGCUGACUGCCCAAUUCUCCUCUGUCCCUCCACCACCCCAAAUGCUGACUGCCCAAUUCUCCUAUGUCCCUCCACCACCCCACAUGCUGACUGCCCAAUUCUCCUCUGUCCCUCCACCACCCCACAUGCUGACUGCCCAAUUCUCUUCCUAUGCCCCUCCACCACCCCACAUGCUGACUGCCCAAGUCUCCUAUACCCCUCCAACACCCCCCAUGCUGACUGCCCAAUUCUCCUCUGUCCCUCCACCACCCCAAGUGCUGACUGCCCAAUUCUCCUAUGUCCCUCCACCACCCCACAUGGUGACUGCCCAAUUCUCUGUCCCUCCACCACCCCACAUGCUGACUGCCCAAUUCUCCUCUGUCCCUGCACCACCCCACAUGCUGACUGUCCAAUUCUCCUCUGUCCCUCCACCACCUCACAUGCUGACUGCCCAGUUCUUCUAUGCCCCUCCACCCCCCACAUGCUGACUGCCCAAUUCUUCUCCUAUGUGCCUCCAACGCUCCACACCCAGACUCCCCAAUUCUUCUCCUACCCCUUCCUCCAGGGUUUUACUCCCAUCCUCUGUCCCCCUGGUCUCCCCAUCCCAGGUCAGCUCCAGGCUGCCGUAAGGCCCUGGGGUCGAAUCCCAGCCCGGUAA